rnacentral:rRNA from 1 species
AAUGGGGGAAACCCUGAUGCAGCGACGCCGCGUGAGCGAAGAAGUAUUUCGGUAUGUAAAGCUCUAUCAGCAGGGAAGAAGAAAUGACGGUACCUGACUAAGAAGCACCGGCUAAAUACGUGCCAGCAGCCGCGGUAAUACGUAUGGUGCAAGCGUUAUCCGGAUUUACUGGGUGUAAAGGGAGCGCAGGCGGUACGGCAAGUCUGAUGUGAAAGCCCGGGGCUCAACCCCGGUACUGCAUUGGAAACUGUCGGACUAGAGUGUCGGAGGGGUAAGUGGAAUUCCUAGUGUAGCGGUGAAAUGCGUAGAUAUUAGGAGGAACACCAGUGGCGAAGGCGGCUUACUGGACGAUUACUGACGCUGAGGCUCGAAAGCGUGGGGAGCAAA